rnacentral:piRNA from 1 species
AUAUCAGAGGUGACUGCUUUGAGGCAUCCAGC